rnacentral:rRNA from 1 species
AUUGAACGCUGGCGGCAGGCCUAACACAUGCAAGUCGAGCGGAUGAAGGGAGCUUGCUCCUGGAUUCAGCGGCGGACUGGUGAGUAAUGCCUAGGAAUCUGCCUGGUAGUGGGGGAUAACGUCCGGAAACGGGCGCUAAUACCGCAUACGUCCUGAUGGAGAAAGUGGGGGAUCUUCGGACCUCACGCUAUCAGAUGAGCCUAGGUCGGAUUAGCUAGUUGGUGGGGUAAAGGCCUACCAAGGCGACGAUCCGUAACUGGUCUGAGAGGAUGAUCAGUAACACUGGAACUGAGACACGGUCCAGACUCCUACGGGAGGCAGCAGUGGGGAAUAUUGGACAAUGGGCGAAAGCCUGAUCCAGCCAUGCCGCGUGUGUGAAGAAGGUCUUCGGAUUGUAAAGCACUUUAAGUUGGGAGGAAGGGCAGUAAGUUAAUACCUUGCUGUUUUGACGUUACCAACAGAAUAAGCACCGGCUAACUUCGUG